rnacentral:misc_RNA from 3 species
AACGCACCUUGCGCUCCCUAGUAUUCUGGGGAGCAUGUCUGUUUGAGUGUCAUGAACUCUUCAACCCACUGGUUUCUUGUAGACUAGCUGGUGUUUGGAUUUUGAACGUUGCUGGUCUUCGGACGUAGCUCGUUCGUAAUACAUUAGCAUCUCUAAUUCGAAUUCGGAUUGACUCAGUGUAAUAGACUAUUCGCUGAGGACACUUUUAUUAGUGGCCGAACAAGAUAAUUGUAGAAGCUUCAAACCUCUAUAGUCAAUUUUAGAUUAGACCUCAGAUCAGGCAGGAUUACCCGCUGAACUUAA